rnacentral:rRNA from 1 species
GACGAACGCUGGCGGCGUGCUUAACACAUGCAAGUCGAACGGAAAGGCCCUGCUUUUGUGGGGUGCUCGAGUGGCGAACGGGUGAGUAACACGUGAGUAACCUGCCCUUGACUUUGGGAUAACUUCAGGAAACUGGGGCUAAUACCGGAUAGGAGCUCCUGCUGCAUGGUGGGGGUUGGAAAGUUUCGGCGGCUGGGGUUGGAGUCGGGGCUUAUCAGCUUGUUGGUGGGGUAGUGGCUUACCAAGGCUUUGACGGGUAGCCGGCCUGGGAGGGUGACCGGCCACAUUGGGCCUGAGAUACGGCCCAGACUCCUACGGGAGGCAGCAGUGGGGAAUAUUGCACCAUGGGCGGAAGCCUGAUGCAGCAACGCCGCGUGCGGGAUGACGGCCUUCGGGUUGUAAACCGCUUUCGCCUGUGACGAAGCGUGAGUGACGGUAAUGGGUAAAGAAGCACCGGCUAACUACGUG